rnacentral:misc_RNA from 1 species
AUUUUUACUUUUUUUUGCUAGAUCUACACCUUAAUUUCUCUACCAAUGACUUCAUAUCCUCCACCAGGGUAUGGUGCACCACCACCACCACCAGGCGGAGGGUACUACCCUCCGCCACCAGGACCACCUAAUUAUCAAGGUUAUUUCAAUAACGAUCAAUGUUGUCCACCACCACCACCACCUCCUCAACAUAUUUACCACCACCACCACGAUGAUCAUCACCACCACCAUCACCACCAUAGUGGUUGUCUAUCAUUUCUUAGAGGCUGUUUGGCUGCUCUUUGCUGUUGCUGUAUUUUGGAAGAGUGCUGCUGCUGCUGCUUUUAGUUGGUUCCAAAUGUCAUGUGACUGUCAAAAUUGUUUUAUUUACUUUAUUUCUCAAAACUUUUUUAAGAAUUAAAGUUUGGCUGUGUGAGGAUUUUAUUUCUUUUGACUAUAUAUAUGUAUUUUUAAUUGGAGGCAAGUUUCUGUAUAAUAUGAUUAGGGGCAUUUGUUG